UCGUCAGGAGGUUAAUCCUUACCUGUUCCUCCUCGCGGAGGGCAGAUAGAGCGUGAUGAUUGGAGCCGCAUGAGCCGCUGAUUAGCGCCUCCGCGUGGCCGGGGCCUGACAACACCCCGGCUGCUCCCGUCUGAC